rnacentral:rRNA from 1 species
UACGGGAGGCAGCAGUGGGGAAUAUUGCACAAUGGGCGCAAGCCUGAUGCAGCCAUGCCGCGUGUAUGAAGAAGGCCUUCGGGUUGUAAAGUACUUUCAGCGGGGAGGAAGGCGAUGCGGUUAAUAACCGCGUCGAUUGACGUUACCCGCAGAAGAAGCACCGGCUAACUCCGUGCCAGCAGCCGCGGUAAUACGGAGGGUGCAAGCGUUAAUCGGAAUUACUGGGCGUAAAGCGCACGCAGGCGGUCUGUUAAGUCAGAUGUGAAAUCCCCGGGCUUAACCUGGGAACUGCAUUUUGAAACUGGCAGGCUUGAGUCUUGUAGAGGGGGUAGAAUUCCAGGUGUAGCGGUGAAAUGCGUAGAGAUCUGGAGGGAAUACCGGUGGCGAAGGCGGCCCCUGGGACAAAGACUGACGCUCAGGUGCGAAAGCGUGGGGAGCAAACAGGAUUAGAUACC